GACGGGGGGGGCAAGUGUUCUUCGGAAUCACUGGGCGUAAAGGGCGCGUAGGCGGUCUGCUAAGCGUGUGGUGAAAGCCCGGGGCUCAACCCCGGGUCGGCCGUGCGAACUGGUGGACUCGAGCAGGUCAGAGGCGGGUGGAAUUCCGGGUGUAGCGGUGGAAUGCGUAGAGAUCCGGAAGAACACCGGUGGCGAAGGCGGCCCGCUGGGACCUGGCUGACGCUGAGGCGCGACAGCGUGGGGAGCAAACAGG
rnacentral:rRNA from 1 species